CAAUAGCGUAUAUUAAAGUUGUUGCAGUUAAAAAGCUCGUAGUUGGAUUUCUGAAUUGAAUAUCCGGUCCGCUCGUCUCUGAUGAGUGCGUACUUAUGGAUAUUGGAUUCAUUUUUUGUGAGGACAUUUAUCUGUCAUUAGGUUGAUGGAUUUAUAGACUUGCAUCGUUUACUGUGAAAAAAUUAGAGUGUUUAAAGCAGGCGUUCGCCCAUUUGAAUACAUUAGCAUGGAAUAAUAAGAUAUGACUUUGGUGGUCUAUUUUGUUGGUUUGCACACCAGAGUAAUGAUUAAUAGGGACAGUUGGGGGUAUUCAUAUUUCAACGUCAGAGGUGAAAUUCUUAGAUCGUUGAAAGAUGACCUUAGGCGAAAGCAUUUACCAUGGAUGUUUUCAUUAA
rnacentral:rRNA from 1 species